GGAGAGGUGGCUGAGUGGUCGAAAGCGGCAGAUUGCUAAUCUGUUGUAUGAUAAGUAUCAUACCGAGGGUUCGAAUCCCUUCUUCUCCU
rnacentral:tRNA from 1 species